UACGAAGGGGGCUAGCGUUGCUCGGAAUUACUGGGCGUAAAGGGAGCGUAGGCGGACAUUUAAGUCAGGGGUGAAAUCCCAGAGCUCAACUCUGGAACUGCCUUUGAUACUGGGUGUCUUGAGUGUGAGAGAGGUAUGUGGAACUCCGAGUGUAGAGGUGAAAUUCGUAGAUAUUCGGAAGAACACCAGUGGCGAAGGCGACAUACUGGCUCAUUACUGACACUGAGGCUCGAAAGCGUGGGGAGCAAACAGG
rnacentral:rRNA from 1 species